UCAAGCGAAUAUGGGUUUAUGGUGAAUGCCUUGGCGUAACAGGGCGAAGAAGGACGUGGUAAACUGCGAAAAGCCGUGGGGAGAGGCGAACACUCUGUGAUCCGCGGAUGUCCGAAUGGGGUAACCCGGCGGGAGUGAUCCUGUCAUCCACAUUUGAAUAAAAUAGAGUGUGGAAGCAAAACUGGGGGAACUGAACCAUCUAAGUACCCCGGGAACAGAAAAUAAUAAUGAUUCCCUCAGUAGCGGCGAGCGAAAGGGGAGGAGCCUAAACCAUUCUACGGAAUGGGGUUGCAGGGCUGUCUGGGCGUAAGCCGCGGAGUGAGAAAACGCAAGCGUAGCGGAAGGGUUUUGGAAAAGCCCGCCAAAGAGGGUGAGAGCCCCGUAUGCGGCACGCUGGCGUCUCCGUGAGACAGUACCUAAGUACGGCGGGGCACGAGAAACCCCGUCGGAAUCCGGGUCGACCACGACCCAAGGCUAAAUACCUGUUACGACCGAUAGAGAAGAGUACCGUGAGGGAAAGGCGAAAAGAACCCCGGUGAGGGGAGUGAAAGAGAACCUGAAACCGUGAACCCACAACAGGUCGGAGCCGCAGCAAUGCGGUGACGGCGUGCCUUUUGUAGAAUGAGCCUGCGAGUUAUGGUAGUAUGCAAGGUUAAGGCUUGGAAGAGCCGGAGCCGGAGGGAAACCGAGUCUGAAGAGGGCGAGGCAAACGAAAGUUUGCAUAAGUAUAUUACCAUAGACCCGAAGCCAAGCGAUCUAGCCAUGGGCAGGUUGAAGCCGCGGUAAAACGCGGUGGAGGACCGAACUCUAGUCUGUUAAAAAAGGCAGAGAUGACCUGUGGCUCGGAGCGAAAGACUAAACAAGCUUGGAAAUAGCUGGCUCUCCCCGAAAUGCCUUGAGGGACAGCCUCGUGCAAAUCUUGCGGGGGUAGAGCACUGGAUGGACUAGGGGGCUUCACCGCCUACCAAACCCAAUCAAACUGCGAAUACCGUAAGACAACGCGCGGGAGUGAGACGGCGUGCGACAAGGUUCGUCGUCAAAAGGGAAACAGCCCAGACCAAUAGCUAAGGUCCCUAAUGAUAGCUCAGUGUAAAAUGAGGUGCCGCGGCGAAGACAGCCAGGAGGUUGGCUUAGAAGCAGCCAUUCCUUAAAAGAGUGCGUAAUAGCUCACUGGUCGAGUCGCGACGCGCAGAUAAUGUACCGGGGCUUAAGCUAUCAACCGAAGCUUUGGGUUCACUGAUAUUAGUCAGUGGACGGUAGGGGAGCAUUCCGCGCACCAGAGAAGGCGCACCCGCGAGGGGCGUCGGAGGAAGCGGAAGAGAGAAUGCAGGUAUAAGUAUACGAAAAGGGGGGUGAGAUUCCCCCCCGCCGAAAGCCUAAGGAUUCCCGGGUAAAGGUCAUCUGCCCGGGGUAAGUCGGAGCCUAAGGAGAGGGCGAAAGCCGUAUCCGAUGGUAAACUGGUUCAUAUUCCAGUACCGUUUUCAGUAUCAAGGGAUGACGCGUAAGGUGAAACCCGGCCGGGGGACGGUAGUCCCGGUCGAAGCAGUUCCGUGGGCGUGGAGGAAACAUGCGCAAAGCGGACUGUGACAGCGAGCGAACCUACGGGUAAGCAAAGCGGGUGGAGGCUGCGCCAAGAAAUAAUCCCCUCUGGCUAGACUGAGAAGACCGUACCGCAAACCGACACAGGUAGGCGGGAUGAGCAAUCUAAGGCGCUCGGGAGAAUUCGCGUUAAGGAACUCGGCAAAAUACGCACGUAACUUCGGAAGAAGUGCGGCCGCGCUCGGUUUAGCAAUAGGUCGAGAGCGGCGACACAAAGCAGUCCCAGGCGACUGUUUAUCAAAAACACAGGCAUCUGCAAAUCAGUAAUGAGAAGUAUAGGUGCUGACACCUGCCCGGUGCCGGAAGGUUAAGUGGAGAGGUUAGCCGUAAGGCGAAGCUUUGAAAUGAAGCCCCGGUAAACGGCGGCCGUAACUAUAACGGUCCUAAGGUAGCGAAAUUCCUUGUCGGGUAAGUUCCGACCCGCACGAAAGGUGUAACGAUCUG
rnacentral:rRNA from 1 species